GACGAACGCUGGCGGCGUGCCUAAUACAUGCAAGUCGAGCGAAGCGGCGGAUGGGUGAGUAACGCGUGGGUAACCUGCCCUUAAGUCUGGGAUACCAUUUGGAAACAGAUGCUAAUACCGGAUAAUACAGGAUUGCACAUCGUUGCAUUAGCUAGUUGGGAAGGUAAAGGCUUACCAAGGCGAUGAUGAAUAGCCGGGUUGAGAGACUGGUAGGCCACAUUGGGACUGAGACACGGCCCAAACGCCUACGGGAGGCAGCAGUAGGGAAUCUUCCACAAUGGACGAAAGUCUGAUGGAGCAACGCCGCGUGAGUGAAGAAGGUUUUCGGAUCGUAAAUCUCUGUUGUUGGUGAAGCGGUAAUCAACCAGAAAGUCACGGCUAACUACGUGCCAGCAGCCGCGGUAAUAC
rnacentral:rRNA from 1 species